GGGGAUGUCGCUCAACGGGGAGAGCACCUGCUCUGCAAGCAGACGGUUGUCGCAUCGAAGCCGACCUUCUCCA
rnacentral:tRNA from 1 species